GUUUGUGUGACAGGAGCAGCAGGUUACAUUGGGUCCUGGCUUGUCAAGAAGCUUCUCGAGAGAGGACAUGUUGUUCAUGCUACACUCAGAAAUUUAGGUGACCAUUCGAAGACAGAGCUCCUCAAGAGCUUGCCUGGAGCCAAGAGCCAACUGUUUCUGUUCGAGGCCGACAUCUAUGACCCUAUCAAAUUCGAGGCGGCGAUCCAAGGUUGCGAGUUCGUCUUCCUCGUUGCCACUCCAAUGAAACACAACCCACAGAGCUCUCAGUACAAAAAUACUACUGAAGCCACAGUUACUGCAAU
rnacentral:misc_RNA from 1 species